rnacentral:misc_RNA from 1 species
AAGUCGUAACAAGGUCUCCGUUGGUGAACCAGCGGAGGGAUCAUUACCGAGUUUACAACACCCAAACCCCUGUGAACAUACCUAUCGUUGCUUCGGCGGAUCCGCCCCGGCGCCCUCGGGCCCGGAUCAGGCGCCCGCCGGAGACCCCAAACUCUUGUAUUUCUUUAGUAUCUUCUGAGUAAACAAGCAAAUAAAUUAAAA